rnacentral:rRNA from 1 species
CGUGCGUCAAGUGCGAGGUGAGAGAAAGUAAGCAAGGGCAGACGGUGGAUGCCUUGGCUCUCGGAGGCGACGAAGGACGUGAUAAGCUGCGAAAAGCCCGGGGGAGGCGCAAAUAGCCCUUGAUCCCGGGAUAUCCGAAUGGGGCAACCCGGCAGGCUGAAGGCCUGUCAUCCCGUAAGGGAGGCGAACGUGGGGAACUGAAACAUCUAAGUACCCAUAGGAGGAGAAAAUAAACAAUGAUUCCGUAAGUAGUGGCGAGCGAACACGGAAGAGCCCAAACCCAUGUCGUCUAGGCGACACGGGGGUUGUAGGACCACGACGUGGCAAGAUAGAGUCAAGUGGAACGCCUUGGAAAGGGCGACCGUAGAGGGUGAUAGUCCCGUACACGACUGACGAUUGAAGCCUAGUGGUAUCCUGAGUAGCGCGGGGCACGAGAAAUCUUGCGUGAAACAGCGGGGCCCAUCCCGUAAGGCUAAAUACUCCCGAGAGACCGAUAGCGAACCAGUACCGUGAGGGAAAGGUGAAAAGAACCCCGAGCAGGGGAGUGAAAUAGACCCUGAACCCGUCUGCCUACAAGCGGUCGGAGCGUCGUAAUGACGUGACGGCGUGCCUUUUGCAUAAUGAACCUACGAGUUACCUUCCCCGGCAAGGUUAAGUACCUAAGGUACGGAGCCGAAGCGAAAGCGAGUCUGAACAGGGCGCCAAGUCGGGGGGGGUAGACGCGAAACCGAGUGAUCUACCCUUGGCCAGGUUGAAGGUUGGGUAACACCAACUGGAGGACCGGAUGGGUAAGCGUUGAAAAGCUUUCCAAUGAGCUGAGGGUAGGGGUGAAAGGCUAAUCAAACUCGGAGAUAGCUCGUACUCCCCGAAAUGCAUUUAGGUGCAGCCUCUUUAUAGUAUAUCGUGAGGUAGAGCGACUGAUUGGAUGCGAGGGCUUCACCGCCUAUCAAGUCCAGAUAAACUCCGAAUGCGCGAUAUAUAUUUACAGGGAGUGAGGGCGCGGGUGCUAAGGUCCGUGUCCGAGAGGAGAAGAAUCCAGACCACCGGCUAAGGCCCCCAAAUGAUCGUUAAGUUGAACUAACGAGGUCGGAUCGCAGAGACAGCUAGGAUGUUGGCUUGGAAGCAGCCAUUCAUUUAAAGAGUGCGUAACAGCUCACUAGUCGAGCGAUCUGGCGUGGAUAAUAAUCGGGCAUAAACGAUCUGCCGAAGCCGUGGAUGUCGCAAGACAUGGUAGGGGAGCAUUCCAUGCGGCGUCGAAGAUGAGGGAUGACCCUUGUUGGAGCGCAUGGAAAAGCAAAUGUAGGUAUGAGUAACGAUAAGGGGGGCGAGAAACCCCCCCGCCGAAAGACCAAGGUUUCCUGAUCAACGCUAAUCGGAUCAGGGUGAGUCGGGACCUAAGGCAAAGCCGAACGGCGCCGCCGAUGGAAGAAUGGGUUAAUAUUCCCAUACUGCCUCAUGGAGUGACGUGGAGACGGAGAAGUGACAGUCCUGCCGGCUGACGGAAUAGCCGGUUGAAGGGUGUAGAUAUUGAUUCCCGUAGGCAAAUCCGCGGGGAGAGUCGAACCUGAGAGUAUACGGAGCGCUUGCGCAACGUAAUAUGGACGUAACCAUGCUCCCGAGAAAAUCCGCUAAACUUAUCCAUGCGGCACCCGUACCGUAAACGGACACACGUGGUCGGGUUGAGAAUACUGAGGCGCUCGAGUGAUUCACGGUUAAGGAACUAGGCAAAUUGACCCUGUAACUUCGGGAUAAAGGGUCCUCGUCGUAAGGCGAGGCGCAGAGAAUAGGUCCAGGCAACUGUUUAACAAAAACACAUGGCUGUGCUAAAUGGAAACAUGAUGUAUACAGCCUGACACCUGCCCGGUGCCGGAAGGUUAAGAGGAGAUGUCAUCCGCGAGGAGAAGCGUUGAAUUGAAGCCCCGGUAAACGGCGGCCGUAACUAUAACGGUCCUAAGGUAGCGAAAUUCCUUGUCGGGUAAGUUCCGACCUGCACGAAUGGUGUAAUGAUCUGGACACUGUCUCAACCGUGAGCUCGGUGAAAUUGUAGUAUCGGUGAAGAUGCCGAUUACCCGCGAUGGGACGAAAAGACCCCGUGAACCUUUACUAUAGCUUUACAUUGAGUUUGGGCAGACGAUGUGUAGGAUAGGCCGGAGGCAUUGAAGCAGGUACGCCAGUAUUUGUGGAGCCGACGUUGAAAUACGGCCCUUCGGUUGUUUGAGUUCUAACUCCUAGGCAGGAGGACACUGUAUGGUGGGUAGUUUGACUGGGGUGGUCGCCUCCAAAAGCGUAACGGAGGCUUCUAAAGGUGCCCUCAGACCGAUUGGUAACCGGUCGCAGAGUGUAAUGGCAUAAGGGCGCUUGACUGGGAGACAUACAAGUCGAUCAGGUAGGAAACUAGAGCAUAGUGAUCCGGUGGUUCCGCAUGGAAGGGCCAUCGCUCAAAGGAUAAAAGGUACUCCGGGGAUAACAGGCUGAUCAUUCCCAAGAGCUCAUAUCGACGGAAUGGUUUGGCACCUCGAUGUCGGCUCGUCACAUCCUGGGGCUGGAGAAGGUCCCAAGGGUUGGGCUGUUCGCCCAUUAAAGUGGCACGCGAGCUGGGUUCAGAACGUCGUGAGACAGUUCGGUCUCUAUCUAUCGUGGGCGCAGGAGAUUUGCGAGGCUCUGACACUAGUACGAGAGGACCGUGUCGGACGUACCACUGGUUUACCGGUUGUCCCGCCAGGGGCACCGCCGGGUAUCUAAGUACGGAUCGGAUAAGUGCUGAAAGCAU